rnacentral:rRNA from 1 species
CGUAGCUCUGGUGUUCCAGUUGUCACGCUAGUGGCACGGCUGGGUAGCUAUCUACGGAAUGGAUAAACGCUGAAAGCAUAUAAGCGUGAAGUCGGCUCCAAGAUUAGGUUUCGUUGUAGCAAUACGAGAGUCCCCUGGUAGACGACCAGGUUGAUAGGUCGCGUGUGUAAGCCCCGUAAGGGGUUCAGCUAAGCGAUACUAAAGGACGAAUGCUUGAUCAC